rnacentral:lncRNA from 1 species
ACAUAAUCAAAAAGAUGUAGCAGAGUAAACAAACAGUUAAGUUACAGACCAAGAGCACUGAAAGUGCAUAAAUAUUCAGGGCAUAGCCCACAAAAAGAAACAUCCAUAAGCAAAAAAGAAACAAAAACAACAUAAGGAACAAAACACAUCAGUCUUCAUCACUAUUGGCUGUCUCUUCAUCAUCACUAGCAUUAGCACCAUCUUCAUUAGCAUUUUCUUCACCCGUAUUAUCA